CGGCGGACGGGUGAGUAACCCGUGGAUAACCUACCUAUAAGACUGGGAUAACUUCGGGAAACCGGAGCUGAUACCGGAUAAUAUAUUGAACCGCAUGGUUCAAUAGUGAAAGACGGUUUUGCUGUCACUUAUAGAUGGAUCCGCGCCGCAUUAGCUAGUUGGUAAGGUAACGGCUUACCAAGGCAACGAUGCGUAACCGACCUGAGAGGGUGAUCGGCCACACAGGAACUGAGACACGGUCCAG
rnacentral:rRNA from 1 species